rnacentral:rRNA from 1 species
GACGAACGCUGGCGGCGUGCUUAACACAUGCAAGUCGAACGGAAAGGCCCUGCUUUUGUGGGGUGCUCGAGUGGCGAACGGGUGAGUAACACGUGAGUAACCUGCCCUUGACUUUGGGAUAACUUCAGGAAACUGGGGCUAAUACCGGAUAGGAGCUCCUGCUGCAUGGUGGGGGUUGGAAAGUUUCGGCGGUUGGGGAUGGACUCGCGGCUUAUCAGCUUGUUGGUGGGGUAGUGGCUUACCAAGGCUUUUACGGGUAGCCGGCCUGAGAGGGUGACCGGCCACAUUGGGACUGAGAUACGGCCCAGACUCCUACGGGAGGCAGCAGUGGGGAAUAUUGCACAAUGGGCGGAAGCCUGAUGCAGCAACGCCGCGUGCGGGAUGACGGCCUUCGGGUUGUAAACCGCUUUCGCCUGCGACGAAGCGUGAGUGACGGUAAUGGGUAAAGAAGCACCGGCUAACUACGUG